rnacentral:rRNA from 1 species
AGAGAGUCAAAAAGACCGCAAAACCGUUAGGAGGGAAACGAAUGCAGCUAAAGUAGCUCCCCUUCAGGCUCAGGAAGUGUCGAAUCAGCUUGCUGGCCAGUGGAAGCCGCAAGGCUCCAGUGGUUGGACGGCUGGUUGACUGAUCUGCACUCCUGGGGGGAGCUGGCCAACAACAGUUGCCUCUGGCUCAUGAGGGUGUUUGGGUAGGUAGCCUCCUCGUCUCGAGGUGGAACUUAUAGCCAUCCAUCUGGCAGUCUGGAGGCGACUGAGGAGAGAUGUGAACUUUCACACUUGCAGCACAGGCCCUCCUGGGCCGGGCCGCCUCUUUCCGUUUGGGUACCGCUCCGGGGACUGCUUGCAGUGUCCGCUGACGAAUGCCUGCUUGGUGGGGGGAAUGGUCACGCCUUGUGCUGCAGUUGUUGGUGUCCAAAUGGCUGCAUCCGACCCGUCUUGAAACACGGA